UCCUACGGGAGCCAGCAGUAGGCAAUAUUGCGCAAUGGGGCAAACCCUGACGCUGCAACGCCGCGUGGAGGAUGACACUUUUCGGUGCGUAAACUCCUUUUGUUAGGGAAGAAUAAUGACGGUACCUAACGAAUAUGCACCGGCUAACUCCGUGCCAGCAGCCGCGGUAAUACGGAGGGUGCAAGCGUUACUCGGAAUCACUCGGCGUAAAGGACGCGUAGGCGGAUUAUCAAGUCACUUGUGAAAUCUAACGGCAUAACCGUUAAACUGCUUGGGAAACUGAUAAUCUAGAGUAAGGGAGAGGCAGAUGGAAUUCUUGGUGUAGGGGUAAAAUCCGUAGAUAUCAAGAAGAAUACCUAUUGCGAAGGCGAUCUGCUGGAACUUAACUGUCGCUAAUGCGUGAAAGCGUGGGGAGCAAACAGGAUUAGAUACCCAGGUAGUCCACGCCCUAAACGAUGUAUACCGGUUGUUGCUGUGCUAGACUCGGCAGUAAUCCACCUAACGGAUUAAGUAUACCGCCUGGGGAGUACGGUCGCAAGAUUAAAACUCAAAGGAAUAGACGGGGACCCGCACAAGCGGUGGAGCAUGUGGUUUAAUUCGAAGAUACGCGAAGAACCUUACCCGGACUUGAUAUCUAACAAAUCAUCCAGAGAUGGAAGAGUGUCUGCUUGCAGAAAUGUUAAGACAGGUGCUGCACGGCUGUCGUCAGCUCGUGUC
rnacentral:rRNA from 1 species